rnacentral:rRNA from 1 species
UGGGGAAUUUUGCACAAUGGGGGAAACCCUGAUGCAGCGACGCCGCGUGAUUUAGAAGGCCUUCGGGUUGUAAAAAUCUUUUCUAUGGGAAGAAAAUGACAGUACCAUAGGAAUAAGGACCGGCUAACUACGUGCCAGCAGCCGCGGUAAUACGUAGGUCCCGAGCGUUGUCCGGAUUUAUUGGGCGUAAAGCGAGCGCAGGCGGUUAGAAAAGUCUGAAGUGAAAGGCAGUGGCUCAACCAUUGUAGGCUUUGGAAACUGUUUAACUUGAGUGCAGAAGGGGAGAGUGGAAUUCCAUGUGUAGCGGUGAAAUGCGUAGAUAUAUGGAGGAACACCGGUGGCGAAAGCGGCUCUCUGGUCUGUAACUGACGCUGAGGCUCGAAAGCGUGGGGAGCGAACAGG